GAAGAUUUGAUUGAAAGAUAUGCAUGGCCAUUAUUAUCUCACAGCUCAGUUUAUUCAUGGACACAUACUUGUUACAUACAUCUGAAGUCUCCUUAAGGAAAUGAACUCUUUGUGGAUGUGAUACUUGGCCAUUGAGAGAAGUGGAAUAAAUAAGAAAAAGAAGGGGGAACAAGUUAGUGACAAAGGAGCCAUGGUAAGCAAUUAAAAUGAUUCCUCUUUUACUUCUUUAUAUCUACAGUCUAGUUAUUCCUAUUGGAAAACCUACUGGCACCAGGUAUGAUCAACAGGGAUGAGUAAUAUGUAAUUUUUAUCUUUACUGGGUUACUUUUGGCCCACAGACAGUUGACAGCUGUCAGUCAGGUGGCUGGUCAAUGAGGAGAUACAUAUAAAGCUGCCAAAGUAUUUUUGUUUCUUUAAAUACUUACAAGUAAACCAUUUUAGCUGGAAACUUCUUUGUCCUGUAAUUAAAUAUAUUGAUAUUCGGAAUAUGACUUAUUGAAGUUAUUUGCCUGGAGAACCAAGAUUUUCCCUAUGACCAUAUAAGGGCACCACUUUCAGAUAAAAACAUAGACCUGAAUGGCAUCAUCCAGUAUCCAAGGAAACCAUGAACCGUUUUCAAGACCUGCAGCGCAAUAAGGGAAAAAUUGAACGACUCUUGCCGUUUUUCAAGGUCUCUAAGUCCACGAUGACAGGAAAAUCUUCAGUGGUUCCAGAGACAAGCAGCUGGAAAUCCUGAAUGUUUAUUUCCUAGAAGGAAGUGAGCUGUUGAGGAGAGUGAUCCCUUCAGAGAGAUCCUCUCUUUUAAAAAUGGACUCCAAAUUAAACCAUAUCCAUUUCUGGGAUCUUGAAGUGGCUCACAAAAGCCGAUGUCACUUGCUUAAUGUUAAGUGAUUUCAAAAGCCUUAAUCAGGGGAGAGUAAAGGUGGGGAGGAAGAUGGUGAAUAAAUUGUGAGCACCUACCAAGUAAUGGGACAUGUCUUUAAUUCUUAAGCAUCAUGCUCUAUUUCACUUUGUAUUUCAAUUAAAAAAAAGAAAAGAAAAA